rnacentral:lncRNA from 1 species
GCUAGUUUGAGACGAUGCUGGCCAACGCGCGCGCUAGGCUGCAAGGAUGCUGAUGGGCUACUGAUGCAACCUACACCUAAGGCAGAGAACCUAUCAAUGUAGCCUAGCACUAGUGAGUAUCAAGGUCAUAUCCAUGGAGAUCGGGUGAACCUAGAGUUACUACUGUUCGCUAUGUUAUCUUGUCUGAAAUAGGGUGUGAGAAGUCUAAACUAACUAAC